UACGUAGGGUGCAAGCGUUGUCCGGAAUUAUUGGGCGUAAAGAGCUCGUAGGCGGUUUGUUGCGUCGGCUGUGAAAUCCCGAGGCUCAACCUCGGGUCUGCAGUCGAUACGAGCAAACUAGAGUGUUGCAGGGGAGACUGGAAUUCCUGGUGUAGCGGUGAAAUGCGCAGAUAUCAGGAGGAACACCGGUGGCGAAGGCGGGUCUCUGGGCCGUAACUGACGCUGAGGAGCGAAAGCGUGGGGGAGCGAACAGG
rnacentral:rRNA from 1 species